UACAGAGGUCUCAAGCGUUGUUCGGAUUCAUUGGGCGUAAAGGGUGCGUAGGUGGCGCCAUAAGUCAGGUGUGAAAUCUCGGGGCUCAACCUCGAAACUGCACUUGAUACUGUGGUGCUGGAGUACUGGAGAGGAGAUUGGAAUUUACGGUGUAGCAGUGAAAUGCGUAGAUAUCGUAAGGAGACCAGUGGCGAAGGCGAAUCUCUGGACAGUUACUGACACUGAGGCACGAAGGCCAGGGGAGCAACGGG
rnacentral:rRNA from 1 species